GACGAACGCUGGCGGCGUGCUUAACACAUGCAAGUGGAGCGACGAACCAGGGCUUGCCCUGGGGCAAAGCCGCGAACGGGUGAGUAACACGUGGGUACCCUGCCCCGAAGACCGGGACAACCCGAGGAAACUCGGGCUAAUACCGGAUGUGUCUUCCGCGCACAAGCUUGGUGGGCAAAGGAAGCCUCGGGCUCCGCUUCGGGAGGGGCCCGCGGCCCAUAAGCUAGUCGGUGAGGUAACGGCUCACCGAGGCAACGAUGGGGAGCUGGUCUGAGAGGACGAUCAGCCACACUGGGACUGAGACACGGCCCAGACUCCUACGGGAGGAAGCAGUGGGGAAUCUUGCGCAAUGCGCGAAAGCGUGACGCAGCAACGCCGCGUGGGGGAAGAAGGCCCUCGGGUUGUAAACCCCUUUCAGGGGGGACGAAGGCACGAUCGGUGAAUAGCCGGUCGUGCUGACGGUACCCCCAGAAGAAGCUCCGGCUAACUACGUGCCAGCCGCCGCAGUAA
rnacentral:rRNA from 1 species